rnacentral:rRNA from 1 species
GGGUCAGUAGGUUGGUCGUGCCACCGGUACGUACUGGUCUCACUGAUUCCUCCUUCCUGAAGAACCGUAAUGCCAUUAAUUUGGUGUUGCGGGGAGACAGGACUGUUACUUUGAAAAAAUUAGAGUGUUUAAAGCAAGCUAACGCUUGAAUACGUUAGCAUGGAAUAAUGAAAUAGGACGAUCGAUCCUAUUUUGUUGGUUUCUAGGAUUGACGUA